rnacentral:rRNA from 1 species
UAGGGAAUAUUGGUCAAUGGGUGAGAGCCUGAACCAGCCAUGCCGCGUGCAGGAAGAAGGCCUUCUGGGUUGUAAACUGCUUUUGCCGGGGGAUAAAAUGGCUUUGCGAAGCUAAUUGAAGGUACCCGGUGAAUAAGCCACGGCUAACUACGUGCCAGCAGCCGCGGUAAUACGUAGGUGGCAAGCGUUGUCCGGAUUUAUUGGGUUUAAAGGGUGCGUAGGCGGUUCUAUAAGUCAGUGGUGAAAUACUCCGGCUCAACCGGAGAGGUGCCAUUGAUACUGCAGAACUUGAGUACAGACGAGGUAGGCGGAAUUGACGGUGUAGCGGUGAAAUGCUUAGAUAUCGUCAAGAACACCGAUAGCGAAGGCAGCUUACUAGACUGUAACUGACGCUGAGGCACGAAAGUGUGGGGAUCAAACAGGAUUAGAUACCCGCGUAGUCCCUGAGCGGGCUGGCAAGGCGCAU